GACGAACCGGUGCGAACGUUGUUCGGAAUCACUGGGCUUAAAGGGCGCGUAGGCGGCGGAUCAAGUCCGGGGUGAAAGCCCCCAGGCUCAACUGGGGAAGUGGCCUUGGAUACUGAUUCGCUCGAGGGAGGUAGGGGUCGCGGGAACGUUCCGGGUGGAGCGGGUGAAAUGCGUUGAUAUCGGAAGGAACGCCGGUGGCGAAAGCGCGCGACUGGACCUCUUCUGACGCUGAGGCGCCGAAAGCC
rnacentral:rRNA from 1 species